UACUGCUCAGUAACACGUGGAUAACUGCCCUAAGGAAGGGGAUACCCUCGGGAAACUGAGGAUAAUACCCUAUAGGUUACCGAUGCUGGAAUGCUCGGUAACUCAAAGUUCCGGCGCCUUAGGAUGGAUCUGCGGCCGAUUAGGUAGUUGUUGGGGUAACGGCCCAACAAGCCCGUAAUCGGUACGGGUUGUGGGAGCAAGAGCCCGGAGUUGGAUUCUGAGACACGAAUCCAGGCCCUACGGGGCGCAGCAGGCGCGAAAACUUUACAAUGCGGGCAACCGUGAUAAGGGAACCUCGAGUGCCUGUACAUGCAGGCUGUCUGGGUGUCUAAAACACACCCAAAGAAAGGGCCGGGCAAGACCGGUGCCAGCCGCCGCGGUAAUACCGGCGGCUCGAGUGGUGGCCACUUUUAUUGGGCUUAAAGCGUUCGUAGCUGGGUUGUUAAGUCUCUUGGGAAAUCCGGCGGCUUAACCGUCGGGCGUCUAAGAGAUACUGGCAAUCUUGGAACCGGGAGAGGUGAGGGGUACUUCGGGGGUAGGAGUGAAAUCUUGUAAUCCCUGUGGGACCACCUGUGGCGAAGGCGUCUUACCAGAACGGGUUCGACGGUGAGGGACGAAAGCUGGGGGCACGAACCGGAUUAGAUACCCGGGUAGCCCCAGCCGUAAACGAUGCUCGCUAGGUGUCAGGCAUGGCGCGACCGUGUCUGGUGCCGCAGGGAAGCCGUGAAGCGAGCCACCUKGGAA
rnacentral:rRNA from 1 species